AAGUCGUAACAAGGUCUCCGUUGGUGAACCAGCGGAGGGAUCAUUACCGAGUUAUUACUCCAAACCCAUUGUGAAUCUUACCUUCUGUUCUGUUGUCUCGGCGGCGGUCCGCAGGCCUCCUACCCCUGUGAAUGGGGGAAAAAUAGGGGACCGGCUCCCCGCCGGCAGCACCAAACUCUUGGAUUUAUAGCGGAUUACAAAUCUCUGAUUAUAAGCAAGAAAAUGAAUCAAAACUUUCAACAACGGAUCUCUUGGUUCUG
rnacentral:misc_RNA from 1 species